UGGGGAAUAUUGCACAAUGGGCGCAAGCCUGAUGCAGCCAUGCCGCGUGUAUGAAGAAGGCCUUCGGGUUGUAAAGUACUUUCAGCGGGGAGGAAGGGAGUAAAGUUAAUACCUUUGCUCAUUGACGUUACCCGCAGAAGAAGCACCGGCUAACUCCGUGCCAGCAGCCGCGGUAAUACGGAGGGUGCAAGCGUUAAUAGGAAUUACUGGGCGUAAAGCGCACGCAGGCGGUUUGUUAAGUCAGAUGUGAAAUCCCCGGGCUCAACCUGGGAACUGCAUCUGAUAAUGGCAAGAUUGGGGCUCGUAGAGGGGGGUAGAAUUCCAGGGGGAGCGGUGAAAUGCGUAGAGAUCUGGAGGAAUACCGGUGGCGAAGGCGGCCCCCUGGACGAAGACUGACGCUCCGGUGCGAAAGCGUGGGGAGCAAACAGG
rnacentral:rRNA from 1 species